GUGUCAGCCGCCGCGGUAAUACGUAGGGGGCAAGCGUUGUCCGGAAUCAUUGGGCGUAAAGCGCGCGUAGGCGUCCCGGUAAGUCCGUUGUGAAAGUCAAAGGCUCAACCUUUGAAUGCCGAUGGAUACUGCCGGGCUAGAGUCCGGAAGAGGCGAGUGGAAUUCCUGGUGUAGCGGUGGAAUGCGCAGAUAUCAGGAGGAACACCAAUAGCGAAGGCAGCUCGCUGGGACGGUACUGACGCUGAGGCGCGAAAGCGUGGGGAGCGAACAGGAUUAGAAACCCGUGUAGUCC
rnacentral:rRNA from 1 species